AACGCUAGCUACAGGCUUAACACAUGCAAGUCGAGGGGAAACGACAUCGAAAGCUUGCUUUUGAUGGGCGUCGACCGGCGCACGGGUGAGUAACGCGUAUCCAACCUGCCCACCACUUGGGGAUAACCUUGCGAAAGUAAGACUAAUACCCAAUGACGUCUCUAGAAGACAUCUGAAAGAGAUUAAAGAUUUAUCGGUGAUGGAUGGGGAUGCGUCUGAUUAGCUUGUUGGCGGGGUAACGGCCCACCAAGGCGACGAUCAGUAGGGGUUCUGAGAGGAAGGUCCCCCACAUUGGAACUGAGACACGGUCCAAACUCCUACGGGAGGCAGCAGUGAGGAAUAUUGGUCAAUGGACGAGAGUCUGAACCAGCCAAGUAGCGUGCAGGAUGACGGCCCUAUGGGUUGUAAACUGCUUUUAUAAGGGAAUAAAGUGAGCCUCGUGAGGCUUUUUGCAUGUACCUUAUGAAUAAGGACCGGCUAAUUCCGUGCCAGCAGCCGCGGUAAUACGGAAGGUCCGGGCGUUAUCCGGAUUUAUUGGGUUUAAAGGGAGCGUAGGCCGGAGAUUAAGCGCGUUGUGAAAUGUAGACGCUCAACGUCUGCACUGCAGCGCGAACUGGUUUCCUUGAGUACGCACAAAGUGGGCGGAAUUCGUGGUGUAGCGGUGAAAUGCUUAGAUAUCACGAAGAACUCCGAUUG
rnacentral:rRNA from 1 species